rnacentral:rRNA from 1 species
GCAGCCGCGGUAAUACGGAGGGGGCAAGCGUUGUUCGGAAUUAUUGGGCGUAAAGGGCAUGUAGGCGGUUUGGUAAGUUAGAGGUGAAAUACCAGGGCUUAACCCUGGGGCUGCUUUUAAUACUGCAGGACUAGAGCCCGGAAGAGGAUAGCGGAAUUCCUAGUGUAGAGGUGAAAUUCGUAGAUAUUAGGAGGAACACCAGUGGCGAAGGCGGCUGUCUGGUCCGGUACUGACGCUGAGGUGCGAAAGCGUGGGGAGCAAACAGGAUUA